AAUUAGUGUACGGACGCCAAGGAACAGGACCACAAGCGUAUCCCGUGCUGGCUGCUCUGUCCUAUUAGCUUAGCUUAGCUUAGCUAUUCACACUGAGUAGGUCCCUCUCCAACAGGCAUGAUCAUUUCAGUCACCUACUGCUUUUUCUUGACAACAAAUCCAUGGACUCCGCCCAUCAAACACCAAAAUCAAAACCCACAAAAGAAGCAAUGAAAGAGAAGGAAAAGUCAAGAAAAAACCUUUUUCUCUCACUAGCUCAACAAGUCUAGAAAAAGUACAAGAAUCUCUGCAGUAAACAGUGAUCAGGAAAGCAGUAGCAAGUAAAUCUAGAUGGGCAAGGCAAGUAAGUGGGAAAGAGGAAAAAGAAACUAUUUUUGAGGAGAGAGGAGAGAUGAAAAGUGGGGAAGGGCCAGCGGAAAAGCGAGAAAAUUUAGGGGAAAAGUUGAGGAGAGUGGGGAAAAGAGGGGGACAAACCACUCCAGUGGCCUCUUUUUGGAGACCUAAAGAAUUAAAACUCUUGGCAGCGGCUGCGGCUCCUCAUACUGGUGGUGGUGGCAGAGAAGAAUUGCAAGAUAAUACUAGUCGUAUUAAAGACAUCCCUUUUCGUGUUGCUGUUGUUUCUGCAAGAAAACUUGCUGCCACCCUUUGGGAACUCCACCAUUACAAGCUCCCACUUGAUACAAUGCACCACGGCGCCGGUGUCCCUCUUCCGCGCCUGCGCCGCCUCCACCACCAGCAGCUUUACAAGGAUAGGGGUGGCCCUGAACCCCUUGAUCCUUCACCUGGCUCACCCGACUUGCCAGGAAGUUCUAGCAGUUUGAGAAGGCAUGUUGCCGCAUCACUAAUGCAACAUCAUCGGUCGGCUGAGAGGAGUAAUCAUGCUAUACAACCUGUGUCGCCAGCAAGUUAUGGCAGUUCAAUGGAGAUUGCACCCUAUAACCCAGCAGUUACUCCUACCAGCUCUGUUGAAUUAAAAGGGAGAGCUGGCGAGACAAGUUACAGCUUAAGGACAUCGACAGAACUGCUUAAAGUUUUAAAUCGUAUAUGGAGCCUGGAAGAGCAGCAUGUGUCUAACAUGUCUCUCGUCAAAGCACUGAAGAAGGAGUUAGAUCAUGCCCGUUCCCAGAUUAAAGUAUUAGUGAGAGAGCAGCAAGCCGAUCGACAUGAAAUGGACGAACUAAUGAAGCAGAUCACAGAAGAAAAACUAGUUAGGAAGAACAAGGAGCAGGAUAGGAUCAGCGCGGCUAUUCAGUCUAUGAGGGAUGAACUUGAGGAUGAAAGGAAGUUGAGGAAGCGCUCUGAGAGUCUGCACAGAAAGUUAGCCCGUGAGCUUUAUGAAGUCAAAACAAAUCUUGCUAAUGUUUCUAAAGAGCUGGAGAGUGAAAGGAAUUCGCGCCAUCUCUUGGAAGACCUUUGUGACGAGUUUGCAUUGGGAAUAAGAGAUUAUGAGAAAGAGAUGCAUGGGCUGAGACAAAAGUCCGAUAAGGAUUGGACAGAGAGAGCUGAUCGUGAUCAGCUGAUUCUUCAUGUAUCUGAAUCAUGGCUUGAUGAGCGGAUGCAGAUGAAGUUGCAAACAGGGCAUGGCUUUGGAGAAACAAAGUCCACUGUGGACAAAUUGAGCUCCGAAAUCGAAGCUUUUCUCCAGGCUAAAAGAAGUAGUCACACCAAGAUUAACAGCAACCAAGUGCCAAGGGAUCCCACUCUCCACAGAAGUUCUCUGGAAUCAAUCCCACUGAAUAUGGCCGUUAGUGCUCCUCAAGACGAGGAUGAUGAUGAUGACGACUCUGCAGGUAGUGAUUCUAAUUGCUUUGAGUUAGAAAAAACUAGCGAAUCUAUCCUGAAACCUCGGGCACAUGAAAACCAGAAAAAUCAGAGCAACGAAAGUUCAAAGCAGAAGCAGGUAAAGAAAAAAGUCGUGUCAUCUGAGAGGGCAGCCGGUCUGAGUCCGUCCAGUUUGCAGGUGAAGUUCGAAGAGCAGAUGGCUCAAGCCAUGUCACAUAAUGAAACUACAAAACAGGGUGAAGAUGCAGAGAUCCCAGCAACCGGGCAAGGCAAUCCAGCUGAAAACAGCAUUUCACAUAAGCCUGAAAGAUGCGAUGCAGCCAAAGAAACUACUUCUGACAGGAAGUAUGAGUCGGAGGGAAUCAGUGGACUGAACUCAAAUUACAUGAUCGAAAACCUAAUCAGAAACCACUAUCUGUUGUCUGAAAGUGCGAACAAGCAAGCUGACAAUGACUAUGGGGUGGCUUCUUCUUCCAUAUGGAGGAGCCAACCAAGUCCAGUAAGACAAUGGACAGAAAAACUACCAUCCCAUGAUCGCGACACAUCUGAGACGUCUUCAAAACUGCCUCCGGACUUAAAGGAGAACACUUUGAAGGCAAAGCUGUUUGAAGCAAGAACAAGAGGUCAACGGUCACGAUCACGUCUGAAAGCUCCCGUCCUCCCUUCAAGAAACGAAUAACUUGAGCACUUGUAUACGUAACCUUGAGCUUUUCAUAUGUUUCUUGAGAGAUUCUGCCUGUGAAUAUAAUGCUGUAGCCCAGGUGAGAUCCAGUGGUGACUAUCCCUAUCCUGUUGUUGUGCCGGCAAAAUUAUGGUCCGGAUAGAGCAGGUGGUGAAGUGGUAACCUACCACUGGGAAGAUGUACUGAAGACAGAGGGAUUGGAGCAUGAGUCAUUUAUUAACUGGGUAGGGGACUGCUGGAUGGAUAUAAAGACGAGGGUAUGAGUCUUACCCUAUCCAUUAACACUUGUAAAUUCUGAACUCAUAUUAUAUGUAAAAAAAUUAACUUUAAAUCUCAAGGAAAUGGAAUUAUUGUAAGAUUAGCUAGUUCAAAGAGAUGGUUAUUUUAGGAAAGAAAUAUGUACAUUGGAGGGCAUUUUAUU